AGUCGAAAUUAGGGUUUAGAGCGAAACAGAGGAGCUUACUUGCCUUUUCCUUGACAUAGAAGGAAAGGAACAAAAAAAACUUUUUUGGCUUUUCUUCUUUCUUCUGCGAUGGAAAAUCUCAACAACAGACAUGAAGGAACGAAAAAUAUCACUGAUUUGCCUGACGAUUUACUGGUGAAGAUUUUGUCACCCCUUCCGAUCAAAGAGGUUGUGGCUACAAGUGUUUUGUCAAAAAGAUGGCGUUGUGUUUGGAAACAAGCUUUAAAGCUUGAGCUCUGACUGC